CCAGCUCCAAUAGCGUAUAUUAAAGUUGUUGCAGUUAAAAAGCUCGUAGUUGGAUCUCGGGUACUAGCAUGUGGUACGCUUAACUGCGUUACUACAUGUCUGGUCCUAAUCAACCGGUUGGCCGUUGAUGCCCUUUAUUGGGUGUUUUCGGUAGCCGGUACGUUUACUUUGAGAAAAUUAGAGUGCUUAAAGCAGGCCUUACGCCUGAAUAAUGUUGCAUGGAAUAAUAGAAUAGGACCUCGGUUCUAUUUUGUUGGUUUUGUAGAGCAUUGAGGUAAUGAUUAAUAGGGACAGACGGGGGCAUUCGUAUUGCGGUGUUAGAGGUGAAGUUCUUGGAUCGCCGCAAGACGAACAACUGCGAAAGCAUUUGCCAAGAAUGUUUUCAUUAAUCAAGAACGAAAGUUAGGGGAUCGAAGACGAUCAGAUACCGUCGUAGUCUUAACCAUAAACGAUGCCGACUAGGGAUCGGUCAUUGUCGUGACGACAUGAUCGGCACCUUGAGAGAAAUCAAAGUGUUUGGGUUCUGGGGGGAGUAUAGUCGCGAGACCGGAACUUAAAGAAAUUGACGGAAGGACACCACCAGGAGUGGAGCCUGCGGCUUAAUUCGACUCAACAAGGGCGAA
rnacentral:rRNA from 1 species